GUCCCUUUGGGGACAUCUGAUAAAAUUCAUGGCCCCUGCGCAACGAUGACACACAUAAAUCGAGAAAUUGUCCAAAAUUUU
rnacentral:snRNA from 1 species